rnacentral:rRNA from 1 species
UACGUAGGGUGCGAGCGUUAAUCGGAAUACUGGGCGUAAAGCGUGCGCAGGCGGUUUUGUAAGCCAGAUGUGAAAGCCCCGGGCUUAACCUGGGAAUGGCAUUUGGGACUGCAAGGCUUGAGUGCGGCAGAGGAGACUGGAAUUCCUGGUGUAGCAGUGAAAUGCGUAGAUAUCAGGAGGAAUACCGAUGCGGAAGGCAGGUCUCGUGGGACGACACUGACGCUGCAUCGCACCGAAAGACG